CCGCCCCUGCCCUGCCCUCCGCGAAGGUUCCGGGAUCGAUCAAAGCCGGUCCUCCUCUAGGGUUUCGCCCGCGGGCGGCCCGGCGCUUCUCGCGCUUCAAAGGCGGCGCCGAGAUCCCAGCGCCCCCGACUUCGCUCCUCUCAGACCGACAGAAACGCAGCAUCCGAGCUUUGUUUUAUGAAAGCUGUUGUAUAGCCAAGAGAUUUUUCAAAGGAAACUAAGGCACAGAAAAGGUAAAUGACCUUGGCCAAAGCCCUAUCCGGUGGGUUGUAAUAAAAUUAAAAGAUAUAAUGCAGCCUGACAUGGUGGCACACACCUAUAAUCCCAGCAGUCAGGAGGCUGGGGCAGAAGAAUCACCAUGAAUUUGAGGCCAAUGUGGGCUGCAUAGUGAGUUUAAUAAGACCAGCCUACCUAGUGAGACCUUGUCUCAGAAAACAAAACACAAAACAAAACCAAAAAGAUACAAUGCAGCAUUGACCCAAGUGUUUUUUCAGGUUGGUAAUAAAUUUUACUUUAAAAAAUUGUAAUUAAAUAAGUAAUGGAAAUUUUGGAUUGAGCAAAAUUAAAUAGGUCUCUUACUAAAAUAU
rnacentral:lncRNA from 1 species